rnacentral:rRNA from 1 species
AGAGUUUGAUCCUGGCUCAGGAUGAACGCUAGCUACAGGCUUAACACAUGCAAGUCGAGGGGCAGCGGUAUCGAAAGCUUGCUUUCGGUAGCCGGCGACCGGCGCACGGGUGAGUAACGCGUAUCGAACCUGCCUCAUACUCGGGAAUAGCCUUGCGAAAGUAAGAUUAAUGCCCGGUGUUUUCAGAGUUCCGCAUGAGGCUUUGAACAAAGAUUUAUCGGUAUGAGAUGGCGAUGCGUCCCAUUAGCUUGUUGGCGGGGUAACGGCCCACCAAGGCAUCGAUGGGUAGGGGUUCUGAGAGGAAGGUCCCCCACAUUGGAACUGAGACACGGUCCAAACUCCUACGGGAGGCAGCAGUGAGGAAUAUUGGUCAAUGGGCGGAAGCCUGAACCAGCCAAGUAGCGUGCAGGAAGACGGCCCUCCGGGUUGUAAACUGCUUUUAGUUGGGAAUAAAACGGGGCUCGUGAGCCCCCUUGCAUGUACCAUCAGAAAAAGGACCGGCUAAUUCCGUGCCAGCAGCCGCGGUAAUACGGAAGGUCCGGGCGUUAUCCGGAUUUAUUGGGUUUAAAGGGAGCGCAGGCGGACCUUUAAGUCAGCUGUGAAAUACGGCGGCUCAACCGUCGAACUGCAGUUGAUACUGGAGGUCUUGAGUGCACACAGGGAUGCUGGAAUUCAUGGUGUAGCGGUGAAAUGCUCAGAUAUCAUGAAGAACUCCGAUCGCGAAGGCAGGCAUCCGGGGUGCAACUGACGCUGAGGCUCGAAAGUGCGGGUAUCAAACAGGAUUAGAUACCCUGGUAGUCCGCACAGUAAACGAUGAAUACUCGCGGUUUGCGAUACAGUGUAAGCCGCCAAGCGAAAGCGUUAAGUAUUCCACCUGGGGAGUACGCCGGCAACGGUGAAACUCAAAGGAAUUGACGGGGGCCC